GACGAACGCUGGCGGCGUGCCUAAUACAUGCAAGUAGAACGCUGAAGGAGGAGCUUGCUUCUCUGGAUGAGUUGCGAACGGGUGAGUAACGCGUAGGUAACCUGCCUGGUAGCGGGGGAUAACUAUUGGAAACGAUAGCUAAUACCGCAUAAUAGCAGUUAUUGCAUGAUAACUGUUUGAAAGGUGCAAUUGCACCACUACCAGAUGGACCUGCGUUGUAUUAGCUAGUUGGUGGGGUAACGGCUCACCAAGGCGACGAUACAUAGCCGACCUGAGAGGGUGAUAGGCCACACUGGGACUGAGACACGGCCCAGACUCCUACGGGAGGCAGCAGUAGGGAAUCUUCGGCAAUGGACGGAAGUCUGACCGAGCAACGCCGCGUGAGUGAAGAAGGUUUUCGGAUCGUAAAGCUCUGUUGUAAGAGAAGAACGAGUGUGAGAGUGGAAAGUUCACACUGUGACGGUAUCUUACCAGAAAGGGACGGCUAACUACGUG
rnacentral:rRNA from 1 species